rnacentral:rRNA from 1 species
CAAGAUGAGAUUUCCCAUAGCGUAAGCUAGUAAGACUCCUGGAAGAACACCAGGUUGAUAGGUCAGAGAUGUAAGCAUGGCAACAUGUUAAGUUGACUGAUACUAAUAAGUCGAGGGCUUGACCAGAA